UCAUUAGAGAAAGCCAAAAUGACCCCAUGGCUGCAGUUGGUCUUCUUACUUGCAUCCCUCAGAGGAGUCCAAUCUCAAGUCCAGUUGGUGGAAUCUGGAGGAGAUGUGAGAAGACCUGGAGAGUCCCUCCGUCUCUCCUGCCAAGCCUCAGGAUUCACCUUCAGCAGUUACAGCAUGAACUGGGUGAGACAGGCUCCAGGGAAAGGACUUGAAUGGGUGGCAUAUAUAUGGUCUUCCAAUCUUCACUACUCUGACAAAGUGAAGGGACGCUUCACCAUCUCCAGGGACGAUGCCAAAAGCCAGCUGUACCUGCAAAUGAACAGCCUCAAAACAGAUGACACAGCCAUCUAUUACUGUGCAGGAGACACAGUGAGAGGAAGUGAAUCUAUAGCAAAGCAAAAACUGCCAAUUUCACGUAACAUGUUUUUCAGAGUAUAA